rnacentral:rRNA from 1 species
GACAGAGGGUGCAAACGUUGUUCGGAAUUACUGGGCGUAAAGCGCACGUAGGCGGACAUUUAAGUCAGGGGUGAAAUCCCGGGGCUCAACCCCGGAACUGCCUUUGAUACUGGGUGUCACGAGUCCGGAAGAGGUGAGUGGAAUUCCGAGUGUAGAGGUGAAAUUCGUAGAUAUUCGGAGGAACACCAGUGGCGAAGGCGGCUCACUGGUCCGGUACUGACGCCGAGGUGCGAAAGCGUGGGGAGCAAACAGG